rnacentral:rRNA from 1 species
CCUACGGGAGGCUGCAGUGGGGAAUAUUGGACAAUGGGGGAAACUCUGAUGCAGCGAAGCAGCGUGGGGGAAGAAGCGCCUAGGGGCGUAAAGCCGUGUCAGCGGGGAAGAAAAUGAAGGUACGUGAGGCAGAAGCCACGGCUAGCUACGAGCAAGCCGCCGCGGUAAUACGUAGGGGGCAGGGUUUAUCCGGAUUUACGGGGUGUAAAGGGGGCGCAGACGGCGCCUCAAGCCAGGAGUGAAAACCCGGGGCCCAACCCCGGGACUGCUCGUGGAACUGCGUGGCUAGAGUGCAGGAGGGGCAGGCGGAAUUCGUGGUGUAGCGGUGAAAUGCGUAGAUAUCAGGAGGAACACCGGUGGCGAAGGCGGCCUGCUGGACUGCAACUGACGUUGAGGCCCGAAAGCGUGGGGAGCAAACAGGAUUAGAUACCCGGGUAGUC